GAGAAAGGACAGGGGCUGUUGGGUGACGGUGGUGGGACAGGCCAGAACUCAUACGCUCCGGGCAGUAGAAUAAUCCAGACUUAUCCAGAAGGUGUGGGACAAGGCAGCCAAGGGCACCUCCUGGGCUUCUGGAGUGGGCAGCGUUCUCGCCACUGAGCCUGGGGAGGCGGCUCGUAGCAGUCGGGAAGGGGUCUCUUUUGUGCAUCCUCCCCGAAGCCCAGCCGCUACCGGGAAGGACACUGCGUGCGCAGCCCUCCCCUGCUUCUUCCCAGAGACGCAGCCACAGCUGAUCUCCCCAGCCUCCCGUGCCUUCAGUGUGGUCACUUUUCCUGUUUUUAAAAGUACCUCGGAGAUUAGCCUUUACUUCUUUGAAAAAAUUACAUGGAAUCUCCCAAAUUGUGUCCUUUGCUACGGGGUUCAACUGUUUCUCCCCUGUAACUGUCAACGUUCAGCACUGGGGCAGGUUGGCUGGUGACUGGGAAGUCUGAACAAAGGCAGUGUCUCCUGGUCCACGAGGAAUCUGAAUAUAAGUAUCCUCUUCCGUUUCCUCACUCACUGUUCAGUAUUUUGUAAUUUGUCUGCACUGAGGGUGGCGCUGUGUGUGUACGGAGAGAAAUCGUGUGUCAGUUAAGCUGUAGGGACGCAGUAGCCGGGCAGACUCCACUCAGGUUCAGACUGAACCUCCGCCACUUUCUAGGCGUGGCGCCUUGGGAUAGUUACAUGGGUCUCUGGGGCUCAGCUUCCUCAUCUGGAAAAUGGGAAUAGUAAUGACAGUUAUAGCCCUGUUUUAAUACGUAACUAUAUUUCAACUAUAGUUAUUGUGCAGCAAUAACAGUGAUGUCAGUAAUAGUGAUAAUAAUAAUCAUACUCUCGAAUCGUGGUUGUGGCGAAGGUAAUGCAGUCAGCACAAUUUUUGGCAUAUCAGGAGCCAAUAAAUGUCAGCCGUGGUUGUGUCAUCA